GAGGUCCUUCGCAUCCCUUGUUAGUUGUAUUCCUAGGUAUUUGUUUUACUUGUUUUUAGAGCUUUACAUUUUUGCUUGGAAUAAUGGACCUUGGAGAACAGCAGCUUGAAUUACAUUUUGUACUUUUAUUUGUUGAGCUGAUAACCGCUGUUUUAUGAUGAAUUUUUAGCCUGAAACAAUGCCUCCCUGAGCUUGGCAAUCCCCAAGUCAUUGGUACUUGACUUACUACUUGAGUCAAGUACCAAUGACUUACUACUUGACCUGAUUGCUUACUACUUGACCUGAUUGCGUGGUUUUUUUUGUUUUUUUACUUUUUGGUUUUUGGGAGGUUUGCCAUUCCCUCUUCGCAAUGAUGAUUACCUUGGUUUGCUUUGUGUUUGAGCGCCUGCUGCGGCGGGUAUCACAUUGGGGUCACCACCUGAGAUGUCCGCUACCUGCGGAGGGUUGGCCUUGCAGACUUUGACUUAAUGAUGGAUGAAUGAAUGUACUUUUACACCACUGUAGUGAUUAAAGUGGGCUAGGGAUGGUUGUUGGCUGCUUUUAGAGGGCAAAAUGCAACCAAUCGACCCAGACUCCUCUACAUACUUUUAUUUAUUAUUAAUUGUAUAACAGGUUUUAAGUUAACACACUUGUGAGUAAUUAACAUGGUUAAAAGAGUGGUUUUAUGAAUGAUAAAAGCCUUAAGUUUGGGGCCCAGAAUAAACACCUUCGUGGUUAAUUUACCUUUGAUUUCUCCCUAAGAGGACCAUUCAGCACAAAGUUUAUAUGAGUAAACAGAGCAGAGACAAAGGGAUGUGGGGUAAACAGACUUAAACUGGAAAAGCUUUUUAUCAUCCCCAUUUCUUCCCUAACAUAAUGGACAGGCUGCCUCUAACCUGUCCCAAUAAAACCUUUUGGCCUUCUAAAAGGUUUGAGACUAUAAUUUAUAACUUUCCAAAUAUUUGAUGCAAUAUUUUGCCAGCCACUCCAGCCUGGGCAACAGAGCGAGAUUCUGUCUCAAAAAUAUAAUAAAUUAAUUAACCCUAUCCCAUUUCUGAACUCCUUUAUCCCACUUUUUUCAUUUUGCUUGUCACCUGCUAAUAUCCUAUACUUCAUUUCUUAUGUUUGUUAUAAUGUCUCUUUUCUUUCCAUUAGAAUUUAGGCUCUAAGAGGGCAGAGGCUGUUGGUGUAUUUUGUUCACAGAUGAUUCCCAAGCCUCUAGAACAGUGCUCAGUACAGAGUAGCUGCUCAGUAAAUAUCUGUUGAAUAAGUGACAUAGCAGAACAGUUUUCAAAUGUGGGUGUCUUCAGUUCACACAGCCCUUAAAUGUGCUCCCUCCCUCAGUGAUCCCAGAAGCCCAUCACCCCAUCCACCCGCACACAGACACUGAAGACUGGACAUGGUCAGGAGAGUGAGAUGCCAGAAACUCCACCAUUAAAGAACUGCUCUUUG